rnacentral:rRNA from 1 species
AUGGAGACAAGCAAAAUCUUUGUGUUCCAGGAGAACGCUGAAUUAUAUCAGAGAGAUGAGAGAUUAAUCAUUUCUUCAUGUUCAUCAUGUCUCACUUGUUUUUACUUGAUGAAGUGGAAAGAAUAUUUUCCAAAUAAAGAAUUAGUGCAGCCACCACAGUUUGAAGCAGAGGUUCUAUAUUACCCAAAGCCAAAUAUUCUUUAUGAUUAUUUGUCAUGGAGACAAGCAGAAUGCCACAACAGAAGCCAGUACAACACAUGCUUUUGGAUACUAGUGAAGUCCGGAAAAGGUGAAGGUGAAGACAAAGCUCAUGAGAUACUGAAGGGAACAUUAUCAACGGACAAGAACGAUUUGUUUUUCAGCGGUUUCGGAUGA